rnacentral:rRNA from 1 species
GAUGAACGCUGGCGGCGUGCUUAACACAUGCAAGUCGAACGAUGAAGCUCAGCUUGCUGGGUGGAUUAGUGGCGAACGGGUGAGUAACACGUGAGUAACCUGCCCUUAACUCUGGGAUAAGCCUGGGAAACUGGGUCUAAUACCGGAUAGGAGCGUCCACCGCAUGGUGGGUGUUGGAAAGAUUUAUCGGUUUUGGAUGGACUCGCGGCCUAUCAGCUUGUUGGUGAGGUAAUGGCUCACCAAGGCGACGACGGGUAGCCGGCGUGAGAGGGUGACCGGCCACACUGGGACUGAGACACGGCGCAGACUCGUACGGGAGGCAGCAGUGGGGAAUAUUGCACAAUGGGCGCAAGCCUGAUGCAGCGACGCCGCGUGAGGGAUGACGGCCUUCGGGUUGUAAACCUCUUUCAGUAGGGAAGAAGCGAAAGUGACGGUACCUGCAGAAGAAGCACCGGCUAACUACGUG